UCGCCUUGAUAACCAGAAAAACUCUAUUCAGCCUUCACAAUUGUAUAAAAUGAAUGUUCAGACUCUUUCUUAAGGGGUUGUGGGGUUUGUUUGUUUUGUUUUCCAUGCACUGCUAAUCUCUGCUUGCAGGGCUCCAUCCCACAGGUUCACCCCAAGUCCUGACUUCACUCAAAUAGCCUGAAGAAGUCACCCUGAGAGCUCUGGAAGCGGCCAGAAGCUGGCUCUGGGAAGCUCAGGGCCCUGGUACCCAAGAAGCACAAACCAGCCCAGCUCUCCAGGGCUAAACACUGCCGUCUUUCUGCUGUAAUUCCCAGGGGCUGGAGAUGUGGCUAAGGGCUGCUCGUUCCUGCACACAUGCAAUUCCUCUUCCACGCUGACCAAGUCAUCCUAAUCGGCUAAAGCUUGGAUGUGGCGCUCGUUAUUUCAAAGCUAGGUGUGCAUGGUAAUGGUUGUGUUAUUGCGGGGACUUUGCUCUGUUUUUCUUUCAAAUAAAAAAGACGGGUUGAAAAA